ensembl:lncRNA
GUCUCUGAAUGUCCUUGAGUGUUCCAGCCAGAGCCUGGACUUGAACACAAUCAAACAUCUCUGGAGAGACCUGAAAAUAGCUGUGCAGCGACACACCCCAUCGAACCUGACAGAGCUUGAGAGGAUUUGCAAGGAAGAAUGGGAGAAACUCCCUAAAUGCAGUUGUGCCAAACUUGUAGCGUCAUACCCAAGAAGACUCAAGGCUGUAAUUGCUGGCAAAGCUGCUUCAACAAAGUACUGAGUAAAGGGUCUGAAGGGUCUGAAUAUUAAAUAUUAAAUAAAUGUGAUUAUUUCAGUUUAUUAUUUGUAAUACAUUUUCAAAAAAAAAUCUAAAGAUUUCAAAACUGUUUUUGCUUUGUAAUUUUGGGUUAUUGUGUGUGUAUUUUGAUGGGGGGAGGAAACAAUUUAAUCCAUUUUUAGAAUAACGCUGUAAUGUAACAAAAUGUGGAUCAAGUCAAGGGGUCUGAAUACUUUCCGUAUGCACUAUAUGUGUGUUCGACACCUUGUAGAGCAUGCAUCGAUGAAUUGAGGCUGUUCUGAGGGCCAAAGGGGGUGCAACUCAAUAUUAGGAAGUUGCAUGGACUCUACAAGGUGUCGAAAGCGUUUCACAGGGAUGCUGGCCCAUGUUGACUACAAUGCUUCCCACAGUUGUCAAGUUGACUGUGUGUUCUUUGUGUGGUGGGCUAUUCUUUAUACACGCGGGAAACGGUUGAGCGUGAAAAACCCAAGCAGCGCUUGCAGCUCUUGACACAAACCGCUGCGCCUGGCACCUUGUUCAAAGGCACCGGAAUCUUUUGUCUUGCCCAUUCACCCUCUGAAUGGCACACCGUACACAAUCCAUGUCUCGAUUGUCUCGAGGCUUAAAAAUCCUUCUUUAACCCCGUCUCCUCCCCUUCUUCUUCUAUGUGGAUUUAACAGGUGACAUCAAGGGAUCGUACUGUAGCUUUCACCUUGUCAAUGCACGUCAUGGAAAGAGCAGGUGUCCUUAAUGCUUUGUACACUCAGUGUGUGUGUGUAUAUAGUGAUAUUCAUUUCUUUGUGUGUCUUAGGCUACAGAAUGUGCUGGAGGAUUUCCGAGAUCUGGAUGCUCCAGCCCUAGAGGAACCUAAACCCACGGUGGUGCUGCUGAAGCCUGAGAGGUCGGUCCGGGGCAGGAGGCGGCGUGGGGCCAGGUCCCAGAGACAGUGACUGUUUCCCCUUCACCGCCAACCUCGCCCACUAUCACUGCUUUAUAUUGUCCUGGCUCCCCCACUGUUUUUCAACUGCACUACUAUAUCGUCAUGCCAACCUCUUACCUUUGAACAGGAGUGAUCUAGAUAAAAAAUAAACAUAAUUCUGUGGAUGCUUUCACUUAGGAGAAGACCCGUCUUAAGUCUGUGUGGUUGCUUGGCGUUAUUGAUUGAGAUCCGUUAUGAUGUAAGUGUUAGAAUUGUCUACAAAAAAAAACUGUACUGUUUCUCAGUGCGUUUACUGUGAGUCAGGAUAAGAGUAUCUACUUGAAUGACCUACGUUUGCUCUCUGUUUGAGAUUGUAUGAUAUGUGUGGUUUGUGUAUGUUCCAAGACUGUUUUUGAGAUGCUAGACGCUGUCCCUGACCACAGAUCUGGGAUCAGAUAACCCAAAUCCUUAUGAGGAUACAAAAUAUAUCUAAUCCUGGACCUGAGUUGUGGGGCAACUUAUACCAACUCCUAGAGAUGCUUGCUGUUGCUGAGCCCUUUCACUGUGGUAGUCAUACAGUAUGUGUACCCAGAGAGAGAGAGACCAUGCAUCUGUGCCAGACAGUCUCGGGCUUCUCUGCAGACAGACACACUACUACCCAACACAUAGCCUUGGUGUGGAAACCAUGCAAUGGCAAAAGUAAUAAUUCCCAAUCAGGGGGUGUAUCACAAAGCAGGAUCAAUGAGUUGGCCAGCAAACUCUCCAGCCUAAAUAUUCUGAAGUCAUAUUUUCAAGUUCAUAAAGAUAAUGUGAAAUGGGCAUGACUUGACACUACUAACAACCCACAUUCAAGAUAAGCUUUCAGUGUAGGACACUUUUUUUUUUCUCUCUAGUUUUCUAAAAAUGACACACCCAAAUCUAUCUGCAUGUAGCUCAGGCCCUGAAGCAAGGAUAUGCAUAUUAUUGAUACCAUUUGAAAGGGAACACUUUGAAGUUUGUGGAAAUGUGAAUGUACUGUAGGAUAAUAUAGCACAUUAGAUCUGGUAAAAGAUAAUACAAAGGAGAAAAAAAAACAUGUUUAUUUUUUACUUUUAUUUUUGUCUUUGAAAUGCAAGAGAAAGGCCAAUAAAUGACUUAGGAAUCUAGGAGCAAUUUAGAUUUUGCCCACUAGAUGACAGCAGUGUAUGUGCAAUGUUUUAGACUGAUUCAAUGAACUAUUUUGUUUCUGUUCAAAAUGUUGUAUCAAGACUGCCCAAAUGUGCCUAAUUCGUUUAAUAAUACAUUUUCAAGUUCAUAACUGUGCUCUCUCCUCAAACAAUAGCAAUGGUAUUAUUUCACUGUAAUAGCUACUUUAAAUAGUACAGUGCGGUUAGAUUAACAAGAAUGUAAGCUUUCUGGCCCUAUCAGAUAUGUCUAUGUCGUGGGAAACGUUCUUGUUUACUUAGAACCUCAUGCUAAUCACAUUAGCCUACGUUAGCUCAACCGUCCCGCAGGGGGACACCGAUCCUGUAGAGGUUUUAAAUGUACCAGCUCGAUCUGGUGGUCAUGCUUUGUGAUACACUCCAACAUAUUCUCUGUGUGAUGUUUAGCAAACGAUGUACAUUUCAAUUAUUUCCUUUCACGGGAAUGGCUGAAGAAAUAGUGUGUUGAGAUAUACAUCCAAGUCAACAGUUAUUGGCACCCUUGGUAAAGAUUGAACAAACAUUACAACAACAAAACAUCCUAAUCCUGAGCUAUUGUAUGCUCCAACAUUUUUUUUUAAUUCUAUGAUUUUAUACAAUUGGAAACAGAGAUAUUGUUUAGUAAGAUUUUUUUUCUUCUCAAAGAUAGGGGUCAAACUUAUUGGCACCUCUGAAUUCAAUUCCUUUAACUCACCUUGUGAGGAUAAUGGCACUGAGCCUUUAAAUGUUUUAUAUUUUUUAUGUGAUUGGAGAACACAUUGGUUUAGACCAUUCCUCCAUACAUAAUCUUACCAGAUCUUUGAUACCCUCUGUCUGUUCUCAUGGCCUACCCUCUUCAAUUCUAACCACAGAUUUUCAACGGGAUUCCAGUCCAGAGACUGAGAUGGCCAUUACAAUAUGUUGUGACAUUUGUUAAACACAAUCUCUUUCUCAACAAUUUGUAUUAGUAUAAAAGAAAUAUAAUUUUCCAUGUUUUUUAGCAUACAAUAUCGAUCAGUAGUUGUAUUUAUUUUAUACAUAAUUUUUUGCCCAUCUUGUGUGGGUUUGUAACGCAAUGUAUUUUUGGUGGGAUAGAGUUAUACUUUCUUUGUCCUUCAAAUCGCUUUGCUCUGUACACUAUCUGCCAGCCCAAUAAUACUGGCAUCUCUUACUGUAUUUAAAUAAAAUGAAAAGAAGCAGAUUAUGCAAUUUCUACACUUGGAGAUUUGUAAAUAUGUACAGCUAAUGUGUUUUAUUUUGAUUUUAUAUUGUUAGAGAGACAACAAUGAAUUGUGAAUUUUUGGGGGAAUUGUAAUUAAGUAUUUUCUCAUACCCUUGCUUUCAAUACUUAUGUUUAAAGAUUGAAUUGUGGACUGUAGCUUUCUUUUUAUAUGGGAGUCUUUUUUAUUUAAUAUUAAACUAUUUACAGAAAAUGA